rnacentral:rRNA from 1 species
AUUGAACGCUGGCGGCAGGCCUAACACAUGCAAGUCGAGCGGAUGAGAGGAGCUUGCUUCUCGAUUCAGCGGCGGACGGGUGAGUAAUGCCUAGGAAUCUGCCUGGUAGUGGGGGACAACGUUUCGAAAGGAACGCUAAUACCGCACACGUCCUACGGGAGAAAGCAGGGGACCUUCGGGCCUUGCGCUAUCAGAUGAGCCUAGGUCGGAUUAGCUAGUUGGUGAGGUAAUGGCUCACCAAGGCGACGAUCCGUAACUGGUCUGAGAGGAUGAACAGUCACACUGGAACUGAGACACUGUCCAGACUCCUACGGGAGGCAGCAGUGGGGAAUAUUGGACAAUGGGCGAUAGCCUGAUCCAGCCAUGCCGCGUGUGUGAAGAAGGUCUUCGGAUUGUAAAGCACUUUAAGUUGGGAGGAAGGGUUGUAGAUUAAUACUCUGCAAUUUUGACGUUACCGACAGAAUAAGCACCGGCUAACUCUGUGCCAGCAGCCGCAGUAAUAC